UGGCCAGUGUGAGCGGAGAGAUGAAGUUGGACCCAGGAAGCACUGCUCAAGCAGCAGUGAAGAAAGCCUCUGAGGCUUCUUAGGAGACUGAGCCUGGCUGAGGAAAGGAUCUCUGAUUUGUCAAGAUAAAUUUCAAAACAAGACAAAAAAGCAAAACUGGAGCAGAAUGUCCAAGAGGUACGGUAGCAAGCAUGGUUCAAGAACCUGUGCUGAACCAUGGCUGAAAGAACCAUGAUGCUCAGCAUGAAUGAAGGAAGGCAGAAAGGAAGAGGACAAGGGAGGCGGAAGGAAGGGAUUGAUGAAUGAGACAGGGGGAGGAAGGGAAGAAGAGAACGAAGAAAGAAGAGAAAGAAACUAGAACAAAAUAUUUAAGGAUUGAGGGAAAAGAAGCACUGACUUGCACCGCCGCCUCCCACAAGUGUGAAGGGGAAACGAGCAUCUUGGAAUAAAGAGCCGUGGAUCUGCUGUGUGGUUCCCCAGCGCCAGGGAAGCACUGCCAGGGAACAGUGAGGAUGCUGGGAUGCUCCAACGGUCACAGAAGAAAAUCCACAGAAUCAACAAAACCUGGGCCGGCAGGGGUCACAGAGACUGAACCAACAACCAGGGAGCCUAUAUAGAACUGACCUAUGUCUUCUGCAUAUGUUACAGCUAUGCAGGUUUGCUGUGAAAAUUGAGGCAGAUGAAUUUACAGUGAAUU
rnacentral:lncRNA from 1 species